CCCGCACCUGCCGCCGCACCUGCCCCCGCACCUGCCGCCCCGCGGCCCGGCCCCAGCAUGGCUGACCAGGCGCCCUUCGACACGGACGUCAACACCCUGACCCGCUUCGUCAUGGAGGAGGGCAGGAAGGCCCGCGGCACGGGUGAGCUGACCCAGCUGCUCAACUCGCUCUGCACGGCCGUCAAAGCCAUCUCCUCCGCGGUGCGCAAGGCCGGCAUCGCGCACCUCUAUGGCAUUGCUGGUUCUACCAACGUGACGGGUGAUCAAGUUAAGAAGCUGGACGUCCUCUCCAACGACCUGGUUAUGAACAUGUUAAAGUCAUCCUUUGCCACGUGUGUUCUCGUGUCAGAAGAAGAUAAACACGCCAUCAUAGUGGAACCAGAGAAAAGGGGUAAAUAUGUGGUCUGUUUUGAUCCCCUUGAUGGAUCUUCCAACAUCGAUUGCCUUGUGUCCAUUGGAACCAUUUUUGGCAUCUAUAGAAAGAAAUCAACUGAUGAGCCUUCCGAAAAGGACGCUCUGCAGCCAGGCCGGAACCUGGUGGCGGCCGGCUACGCGCUGUAUGGCAGUGCCACCAUGCUGGUCCUUGCCAUGGACUGCGGGGUCAACUGCUUCAUGCUGGACCCGGCCAUCGGGGAGUUCAUUUUGGUGGACAAAGAUGUGAAGAUCAAAAAGAAAGGUAAAAUCUACAGCCUUAACGAGGGCUACGCAAGGACUUUGACCCUGCUGUCACUGAGUACAUCCAGAGGAAGAAGUUCCCCCCAGAUAAUUCAGCCCCCUAUGGAGCCCGGUACGUGGGCUCCAUGGUGGCCGAUGUUCACCGCACUCUGGUCUACGGAGGGAUAUUUCUGUACCCUGCUAACAAGAAGAGCCCCAGCGGAAAGCUGCGACUGCUGUACGAAUGCAACCCAUGGCCUACGUCAUGGAGAAGGCCCGGGGAAUGGCCACACCGGGAAGGAGGCCGUGCUGGACGUCGUUCCCACAGACAUUCACCAGAGGGCGCCGGUGAUCCUGGGGUCCCCCGACGACGUGCUCGAGUUCCUGGAGGUGUCUAAGCAGCACUCUGCCCAGUGAGCACCUGCCCUGCCUGCGUCCCGGAGAACUGCCUCCGCCUGGACCUGUUGUCACACACGGCAGCGCCCCGACCCGCUGUGUCCCACACGGCAGCGCCCCGACCUGCUGUGUCCCUUACAUUCCUAGACAGUGGAAAUAAAACGCACGGCUGUUUCCACCGUCAGACGCUGUGGAAUGCCCGGCCCUCCCUGACCAAAUGCUGUCUCCGAAACGCCACUGGUGGCAAGAUGCAGUUUGAGUGGAUGGAGGAGAAAUAAACUUAUCCCUCCCUUAAAAAAA